rnacentral:rRNA from 1 species
GCCAGACUCCUACGGGAGGCAGCAGUGGGGAAUAUUGGGCAAUGGGCGCAAGCCUGACCCAGCAACGCCGCGUGAAGGAAGAAGGUUUUCGGAUUGUAAACUUCUUUUGUACGGGACGAAGAAAGUGACGGUACCGUAAGAAUAAGCCACAGCUAACUACGUGCCAGCAGCCGCGGUAAUACGUAGGUGGCAAGCGUUGUCCGGAUUUACUGGGUGUAAAGGGCGUGCAGCCGGGAAGACAAGUCAGAUGUGAAAUCCCGCGGCUCAACCGCGGAACUGCAUUUGAAACUGUUUUUCUUGAGUACCGGAGAGGUCAUCGGAAUUCCUUGUGUAGCGGUGAAAUGCGUAGAUAUUAGGAGGAACACCAGUGGCGAAGGCGGCUUACUGGACGAUGACUGACGCUGAGGCUCGAAAGCGUGGGGAGCAAACAGGAUUAGAUACCCCCGUA